AUUGAACGCUGGCGGCAGGCCUAACACAUGCAAGUCGAGCGGAUGAAGGGAGCUUGCUCCUGGAUUCAGCGGCGGACGGGUGAGUAAUGCCUAGGAAUCUGCCUGGUAGUGGGGGAUAACGUCCGGAAACGGGCGCUAAUACCGCAUACGUCCUGAGGGAGAAAGUGGGGGAUCUUCGGACCUCACGCUAUCAGAUGAGCCUAGGUCGGAUUAGCUAGUUGGUGGGGUAAAGGCCUACCAAGGCGACGAUCCGUAACUGGUCUGAGAGGAUGAUCAGUCACACUGGAACUGAGACACGGUCCAGACUCCUACGGGAGGCAGCAGUGGGGAAUAUUGGACAAUGGGCGAAAGCCUGAUCCAGCCAUGCCGCGUGUGUGAAGAAGGUCUUCGGAUUGUAAAGCACUUUAAGUUGGGAGGAAGGGCAGUAAGUUAAUACAUUGCUGUUUUGACGUUACCAAAAGAAUAAGCACCGGCUAACUUCGUG
rnacentral:rRNA from 1 species